rnacentral:rRNA from 1 species
UGGGGAAUUUUGGACAAUGGGGGCAACCCUGAUCCAGCAAUGCCGCGUGUGUGAAGAAGGCCUUCGGGUUGUAAAGCACUUUUGUCCGGGAAGAAAUCGCACCUGAUAAUACCGGGUGUGGAUGACGGUACCGGAAGAAUAAGGACCGGCUAACUACGUGCCAGCAGCCGCGGUAAUACGUAGGGUCCAAGCGUUAAUCGGAAUUACUGGGCGUAAAGCGUGCGCAGGCGGUUGUGCAAGACCGAUGUGAAAUCCCCGGGCUUAACCUGGGAAUUGCAUUGGUGACUGCACGGCUAGAGUGUGUCAGAGGGGGGUAGAAUUCCACGAGUAACAGUGAAAUGCGUAGAGAUGUGGAGGAAUACCGAUGGCGAAGGCAGCCCCCUGGGAUAACACUGACGAUCAUGCACGAAAGCGUGGGGAGCAAACAGG